rnacentral:rRNA from 1 species
UGACCUCAAAUCAGGUAGGACUACCCGCUGACUUAACUAUAA